rnacentral:lncRNA from 1 species
GGGGCUGCUUGGCCCCUCCUCGCUCUCUUAAGUUUUUACUUUCCUCACUCUCUCCCCUUGCUCUCUUACUCUCUAAGCUUUUGCCUCUCUCUUUCUACACCUCUCUUAUUCUCUAACUUUCUUUUUCUCUUUCCCUUCCAGUGUGGGCCAAAGACUGAGAACCUGGUACCGGGGACUGCCUCUUGUCCACCCCCAGCCAUGUGGAGUCAGUGGCUUAACACAGCCAGAUGCCCACCCAGGGCUGCAUGGAAAGUGUCUGGCAGUCCUCCCGAAUCUGCUGGCCCAGAGCACAGGAACUCUGAUCAGACUCAAGCUUUCUCCCUCCCUCCUCUCCCCCUUGGCCCUCAACAGAACAACAGGGUCCUCUGUGGUGGAAACAGAGGCCUUGCCAGGCAAUUUCACCCUCAACAGAUGAAGAAAGGACAUUUUUCUCCUGGAUGUGAAACUGAAGUCCAGACUGCAAAGUUGUCAGCCCUCCUGUGAGGAAGAAGAGUAGCCUCACAUUGAGUUGUCUUCCCCCACACUGCAACAGAGGCGUUGACUCCUGGGUAAGAAGACCUUUGACCCACGGAUGCUAAUCAGCAAGCCAGAGUCUUUAGCAGCUCUUAGUUUUGUCAGCCUCCACAACUGCAUGAGACAAUUCAUCACAAUAAAUCUCUUUCCACGCAUGUUUAUAAAUAUUGCAUUAGUUCUCUUUCUCUGGAGAACCCUGACUGGUACAAGUGUCAAACCCAGAGGAAAGAGUAACUGCUUCCGUCAGUCUGCCAGCCAGGCCCAUGCUUCUUCAGGGAUGACUCAUCCUCUUUUUUCCCCAUGAGCCAUAAUACUGUACUCCAUCAUUGGCUCCAGAGAUCUCGGUGGGUGUUGGAAACUUGGUUGUAUUAUAUCAAGAUGGAAUGGAUCAGGGAGGAAUACUGUGAAAGCAGAUCAAAGGCUCGUUAGAAACGCCGCUCACCUGGAAGGUGCUGCUUCACCUUUUCAGUAAAAAGAGAUGAAAGGGAACCGAAAAGUCUGGGUGGUCAACGUGUACAGAAAAGAAAUUAACCAGCUACUUACAAGAAGAGAGAUGGAUGAGAGUCAUCCGCACCUACAACUCACUGGUAGCUGUAGGAGAAGAAAAGGCCAGAACACCACGUCUCCAGGCUCCAGGGGCUUACUGGGGCAUACUUUGUGCUAAGGACCCAUUUCCUCUUUUUCAUCAUCUCUGUACCUUUCUUCUGUGACCUUUCUGUUGGACUGACAUGGAUUCUGCACUGUGAGGCAUCUCCCUGCACAUGGGACAAACAACAUUCUCUCUCCUUGAGUCUUCCUUGAAUCUUCAGAUUGACUGACAGUGAUUUCUUUCAGUAAUUUACUUAAAGCAAGCUCUGUUUCUGAUGCUGGCAUGAAACCCAGAUCCUUUUUUGGCAUGGCUUUGCCAUUAAGCAACAACACCUCCACUCUCAUGUGACUAGAUUCUAGCCAAUGAGCAGAAAUAUACUGAGGCUUCC